GACGUAGGGCGCGAGCGUUGUCCGGAUUUAUUGGGCGUAAAGAGCUCGUAGGCGGCUUGUCGCGUCGACUGUGAAAACCCACGGCUCAACUGUGGGCUUGCAGUCGAUACGGGCAGGCUAGAGUUCGGUAGGGGAGACUGGAAUUCCUGGUGUAGCGGUGAAAUGCGCAGAUAUCAGGAAGAACACCAAUGGCGAAGGCAGCUCUCUGGGACGGUACUGACACUGAGGCACGAAAGCGUGGGGAGCAAACAGG
rnacentral:rRNA from 1 species